GCACAAGCGGUGGAGCAUGUGGUUUAAUUCGAUGAUACGCGAGGAACCUUACCUGGGCUCAAAUGUAUGUUGACGUAUUCUGAAAGGGAUACUUCUUCGGACAAUAUACAAGGUGCUGCAUGGUUGUCGUCAGCUCGUGCCGUGAGGUGUCGGGUUAAGUCCCAUAACGAGCGCAACCCCUAUCAUUAGUUGCCAUCAGGUCAAGCUGGGGACUCUAAUGAAACUGCCUACGCAAGUAGUGAGGAAGGUGGGGAUGACGUCAAAUCAUCAUGCCCCUUAUGAUCUGGGCUACACACGUGCUACAAUGGCCGGUACAACGGGCAGCGAAGGAGCGAUCCGGAGCGAAUCCUAAAAAGCCGGUCCCAGUUCGGAUUGCAGGCUGAAACUCGCCUACAUGAAGUUGGAGUUGCUAGUAAUCGCGAAUCAGAAUGUCGCGGUGAAUGCGUUCCCGGGUCUU
rnacentral:rRNA from 1 species